CAGUGAGGGAAUUAAGGACGGCACAUUGUCCUUGUAACAGGGAUCCAGCAGGGUGGCCCCAGUAAUCAGCACAAGUUAGAAUGUGGGCAACUCAGCAGUCGUUGCGCAGGCACUUUGGUGACUCUAGAUAACCUCGGGCCGAUCGCACGUCCCCGUGACGGCAACGACGUAUUCGGAUGUCUGCCCUAUCAACUUUCAAUGGUACUUUCUGCGCCUACCAUGGUGACCACGGGUAACGUGGAAUCAGGGUUCGAUUCCAG
rnacentral:rRNA from 1 species